AUGGCAAAAGCUAUACCAAAAAUUGGUUCACGUAAGAAAGUGCGUAAUGGUUUACGUAGGAAUGCACGUUUUAGUUUACGGAAGAGUGCAUGUAGAAUAACGAAAGGGGUUAUUCAUGUUCAAGCUAGUUUCAACAAUACCAUUAUAACUGUUAUAGACCCACAAGGUCGGGUGUUUUGGUCCUCGGCCGGUACUUGUGGAUUCAAAAGCUCAAGAAAGUCACCCUAUGCUGGUCAAAGAACAUCAGUAGAUGCUAUUCGUACAGUAGGUUUGCAACGAGCGAAAGUUAUGGUAAAGGGCGCUGGUCAAGCGGACACCAUCGGUAUUACCUUGCGAAGAGCUUUACUUGGAGAAAUAGAAGGAACAUGUAUCACACGUGCAAAAUUUGGGAGCGUGCCCCACGAGUAUUCUACAAUAGCAGGUAUUGAAGAAUCCGUACAAGAAAUUUUACUACAUUUGAAAGAAAUUGUAUUGAGUAGUAGUCUCUAUGGAGUUAGAGACGCAUCCAUUUGCGUCAAAGGUCCUAGAUACAUAACUGCUCAAGCUAUCAUCUUAUCGCCUUCCGUAGAAAUCGUUGAUACGGCACAACCUAUAGCUAACUUGACAGAGCCCUUUGAUUUCUGUAUUGUCGUAUACUAA
rnacentral:rRNA from 1 species